UCCUGUAGGUUUACAGUCCAACCCUCUUCCUGGAGAUCUACUGUCCUGUAGGUUUUCAGUCCAACCCUCUUCCUGGAGAUCUACUGUCCUGUAGGUUAUCAGUCCAACCCUCUUCCUGGAGAUCUACUGUCCUGUAGGUUAUCAGUCCAACCCUCUUCCUGGAGAUCUACUGUCCUGUAGGUUAUCAGUCCAACCCUCUUCCUGGAGAUCUACUGUCCUGUAGGUUAUCAGUCCAACCCUCUUCCUGGAGAUCUACUGUCCUGUAGGUUAUCAGUCCAACCCUCUUCCUGGAGAUCUACUGUCCUGUAGGUUAUCAGUCCAACCCUCUUCCUGGAGAUCUACUGUCCUGUAGGUUAUCAGUCCAACCCUCUUCCUGGAGAUCUACUGUCCUGUAGGUUUACAGUCCAACCCUCUUCCUGGAGAUCUACUGUCCUGUAGGUUUACAGUCCAACCCUCUUCCUGGAGAUCUACUGUCCUGUAGGUUAUCAGUCCAACCCUCUUCCUGGAGAUCUACUGUCCUGUAGGUUAUCAGUCCAACCCUCUUCCUGGAGAUCUACUGUCCUGUAGGUUAUCAGUCCAACCCUCUUCCUGGAGAUCUACUGUCCUGUAGGUUAUCAGUCCAACCCUCUUCCUGGAGAUCUACUGUCCUGUAGGUUAUCAGUCCAACCCUCUUCCUGGAGAUCUACUGUCCUGUAGGUUAUCAGUCCAACCCUCUUCCUGGAGAUCUACUGUCCUGUAGGUUUUCAGUCCAACCCUCUUCCUGGAGAUCUACUGUCCUGUAGGUUAUCAGUCCAACCCUCUUCCUGGAGAUCUACUGUCCUGUAGGUUUUCAGUCCAACCCUCUUCCUGGAGAUCUACUGUCCUGUAGGUUUACAGUCCAACCCUCUUCCUGGAGAUCUACUGUCCUGUAGGUUUUCAGUCCAACCCUCUUCCUGGAGAUCUACUGUCCUGUAGGUUAUCAGUCCAACCCUCUUCCUGGAGAUCUACUGUCCUGUAGGUUAUCAGUCCAACCCUCUUC